UUAUUCAUAAAAGAUAUAUUUAGCAUUACAACAAAAUAUAUUUUAUGCGACAUCACUACAACAAAAACGAUUUAUAGCAACAUUUUUAAAUAUAAGUACAUGUCAAAAAAGUACUGCUAGCUAAAAUUACCGACACUUUUAAAAAGUGUUGCUAUAUGUGGAGUCGCUAGGUAUAUAGUGACAGUUAAAGAGUGUCGCUAUAACCUAAAAGAGUGCUGCUAAUUUACCAACACUUAUUUAAGCAUUUAGCAACCGCCGAAACUCUAUCUCGUUGGCUGCGGUGGCGGAGAAGGACGACAGUAAAGGCUCUUCGUCUAGAAUUUCAGUAGAUUGAGUGAAGAGAGAAGAAAAGAUGGUAAUUGAUUUUUCUUUUUUUUUUCUUUCCUGUUUGUAAUCAGGCCAAAUGGACUGGGUGUGAUGAGUUGGGUAGAGUAAUCUUUUAUUUUUGGUUGGAUUGGGCUUUAUAUUUAGGCAUUAGUAGAUGUGUUUUUAAGUUUUAGCAUAAAUAAGACACUUACUCAAAAGUAUCCCAAACAUGUGUCCCUAUAACCUAAUCCUGUUGUAGUGCGUUUUUUAAACGACGCUUUAUUCUAACAUCUUCAAUAUUUGGCAUGUGCUGACAUCAUAAUUAAGCGUCGUUAAUAAACAUAUCUUUAUUAAAAACUGAUAAAAAUUUUUCAACGCUAUAUUAAAGCGUGGUAUAUUUAUUCCGACAUAUUUACUUAACGAUUCUUUAUUUACUCGGUGCUUUUAUAAGCGUCAGGAUUAUUCUUGUCGACGCUUUAAUUAAAGUAUCACUAUUUAUUGUUUAAAGUGUUCGUAAAUGUAAAAUUUAUAAUAGUGUAGGGAGAGCAAUAAAU
rnacentral:lncRNA from 1 species